GUCCAUCAGCUGCUGCUAUUGGAAAUGCAGUUUGCAUCCCACUGCAUCAAUAAAGAGCAUCACAGGGGGACUCUGCUUGCACUGUGGCAACUCCAAGACUCAUCUCAUCAAUGCUGCUUCCACAACUCUGCAGUGGGAGGUUCAAAGCAGAGAACCAUCACACCUGUAUAAUAACAGCAAGCCAGAGGGCAUGAAAAGAAGAUUAACACCAUUCCUCUGUCACAAUCUGAAAGAAAAUAACAUCUUAAACUUCUCCUGGUACCCCAGUCUUUGACUUUGCUGGACCCCUAACCAUGCAGAGCAUCCAAAACUAACUUACCCUUAAGAGGACCAGUGACCUGAGGGCAGGAGGUUUCAGGCUCAAUAUAACACACACAGGGAACAUUUCUGGGUUGAAACCAUGGUUUCAUGCUCUCUGCAGCCCUGAACUGCUGUAACUCUACUGAAGUCAUUGAGGUCAGCAUUUCGAGGUUUUUUUUUAAGAAAAUUAAAAUAUUGCAAGGAUCCUGGAGCUUGGAGGCCUGAGCAUUUAGUCCUGAGGUUACCUGCAUAAAGCAAGGUAAGCUUUGGACCACAUUGUUUGGGGGUUUGUCCAGUUGGGUCCUGAAAAUCCUCCCAGAGAGGAGAUUGACUGC